rnacentral:rRNA from 1 species
UAAUACAUCGGAACGUGCCCUGUAGUGGGGGGUAACUAGUCGGAAAGAUUAGCUAAUACCGCAUACGACCUGAGGGUGAAAGUGGGGGACCGGCAAGGCCUCAUGCUAUAGGAGCGGCCGAUGUCUGAUUAGCUAGUUGGUGAGGUAAAGGCUCACCAAGGCGACGAUCAGUAGCUGGUCUGAGAGGACGAUCAGCCACACUGGGACUGAGACACGGCCCAG